GCAAGUCCCUUGGAAGAGGGCGCCGGAGAGGGUGAGAGCCCCGUGGCGAGGCGCGGUGUGUUGUGCGAUUUGCGUUCGAAGAGUCGGGCUGUUUGAGAUCGCAGCCCAAAGCGGGAGGUAAAUUUCUUCCAAAGCUAAGUAUGGGCGGGAGACCGAUAGUGGAAAAGUAGAGCGAUCGAAAGAUGAAAAGAACUUUGAAAAGAGAGUGAAAAGGACCUGAAAUUGUUGAAAGGGAAGAGAUUCGCGGCUGUGGGAACGGUGCGGCGUGGCGAACAACGCGACGCGGCACGGUCUGCAUGGCUUGCCGGCGCCGGAGACGGUCCGCGGAACAAGGUAGGCAUCUCUGCGGAGUGCUGUUAUAGAUCUGGGGACGGUGCGGGUGCGCGGGGAGCGAGGAGGUUAGGAGAUGCAGGCGAAAUGGCGCGAAUCAUCCCGUCUUG
rnacentral:rRNA from 1 species